GACGAACGCUGGCGGCGUGCCUAAUACAUGCAAGUCGAACGCAGUGGGGACGGGUGAGUAACACGUGGGUAACCUCCCAUCAGAGGGGAUAACACUUGGAAACAGGUGCUAAACCGAUACUGAUGGAUGAACCCGCGGUGCAUUAGCGAGUUGGUGGGGUAACGGCUCACCAAGGCCACGAUGCAUAGCGGGCCUGGGAGGGGGAGCGGCGGCGCUGGGAGGGGGACAGGGGGCGGACGGCUGCGGGAGGCAGCAGUAGGGAAUCUUCGGCAAUGGACGAAAGUCUGACCGAGCAACGCCGCGUGAGUGAAGAAGGUUUUCGGAUCGUAAAACUCUGUUGUUAGAGAAGCGGUAUCUAACCAGAAAGCCACGGCUAACUACGUGCCAGCAGCCGCGGUAAUAC
rnacentral:rRNA from 1 species